UACGUAGGGCGCAAGCGUUGUCCGGAAUUAUUGGGCGUAAAGAGCUCGUAGGCGGCUUGUCACGUCGGGUGUGAAAGCCCGGGGCUUAACCCCGGGUCUGCAUUCGAUACGGGCUAGCUAGAGUGUGGUAGGGGAGAUCGGAAUUCCUGGUGUAGCGGUGAAAUGCGCAGAUAUCAGGAGGAACACCGGUGGCGAAGGCGGAUCUCUGGGCCAUUACUGACGCUGAGAAGCGAAAGCGUGGGGAGCGAACAGG
rnacentral:rRNA from 1 species